UACAAAAUUCUAAGAUAAUAUAAGAUUAAAAAUGAUAAGUUCCACCUUCCCAACCCGAUUCGAACCCAAAACCCGAACCCAAUUUCAACUUCGUUGUCAACGUCAUCGUCUUCAACCGCCUCGCCGCACUCUCCCGGUGCCUCCACUCCCUCGCCGCCUCCGAAUAAGCUCCAAGAGGUGCCUCAGAUCUUGAAGUUCGUGGACGCGAUCGAUGAAAAGGUUGUGCAUUAUAGGACGGGCAAUGUGGCCUGCACGCCCUUUGGUUGAAAGCCUGGUGUGCUGCUUCCGAUCACGUGUUCGCCUUCCUGGUGGAGGAUGGCAUAGAUGUUUCCUCGCUUUACCAUGAGUUCGUUAAGGCGCUGAUUCCCAGUUUCUACUACGAUGCCUCCAAUUAUAGCCUUCCAUCUUUGGUGUUUGGUAAACAUGGAAACAAAUUACAGAUGAAUGAUAAGACACGGCUUUUCCUAAAUCAGUUAUUUGGCACAUGGGAUCAAAUUCUCUUUCCAAAGCCACGGAUAGAGUUCAGGCUGUGGUAUGACGAGAACAUGGCAAAAGGGCAAUAGGCCAUUUCUUGAGGGGAUGGUAAUAAAAUGCUUUUCAAGAGAAAAACAUAUCUUGUUCUUUAGUCUCAUCUAAUUCUCAGUUCUGCUCUCUUAUACAUGUCAGCAGUUCCUUUCAUUCCUAAUUUCAGUUCUGAAAAAUUUUCCAGGUGACUAUACAAUAUGGUAUAAGAAAAGGGUAGAGAGGAAAGAGUUUUAAGUGUUUCUCACAGAGCUGCUGGAGUAAACUUUAGGAGAACAGCUAAUUUAGCUUGCAUAUUCUUUUGACCUAUUUUGUGUGAUCAUUUGUAACAAAAUUAAGUCAAUGCGAGGCUUAAGAUGGGACAGUAAACUGAGUCGAAUUAUGUUCUCACGAUUGAAUUAUUUAAACA